rnacentral:ncRNA from 1 species
UGUUCGCCGAUUAAAGUGGUACGCGAGCUGGGUUUAGAACGUCGUGAGACAGUUCGGUCCCUAUCUGUUGUGGGCGCAGGAUAUUUGAGAGGAGCUGUCCCUAGUACGAGAGGACCGGGAUGGACGAACCUAUGGUGUUCCAGUUGUCGUGCCAACGGCAUCGCUGGGUAGCUAAGUUCGGAAGGGAUAACCGCUGAAAGCAUCUAAGCGGGAAGCCCACCUCAAGAUAAGAUAUCCCUCUUGAUGGAGACAUCAAGACUGAAGACCCCUUAUAGACGAUAAGGUUGAUAGGUCAGGUGUGUAAGCACAGUGAUGUGUUGAGCUAACUGAUACUAAUCGGUCGUGAGGCUUGACCAU